GUAGGGAAUAUUGGGCAAUGGAUGCAAGUCUGACCCAGCCAUCCCGCGUGCCGGAAGAAGGCCCUCAGGGUUGUAAACGGCUUUUGACGGUGAAGAAUCGACAGGAUGCGUCCUGUUUUGACGGUAGCCGUUGAAUAAGCACCGGCUAACUCCGUGCCAGCAGCCACGGUAAUACGGAGGGUGCGAGCGUUUUACGGAUUUAUUGGGUUUAAAGGGUGCGUAGGCUGGAAGGUCAGUCAGCGGUGAAAAGUUGUCGCUUAACGAUAGUCUUGCCGCAGAUACUUCCUUUCUUGGAUGAGGAGGAGGCCACUGGAACGGAUGGUGUAGCGGUGAAAUGCAUAGAUAUCAUCCAGAACACCGAUUGCGAAGGCAGGUGGCUGUACCUUAAUCGACGCUGAUGCACGAAAGCAUGGGGAGCAAACAGGAUUAGAAACCCUAGUAGUCC
rnacentral:rRNA from 1 species